CCUACGGGAGGCAGCAGUGAGGAAUAUUGGUCAAUGGGCGUAAGCCUGAACCAGCCAAGUCGCGUGAGGGAUGAAGGUUCUAUGGAUCGUAAACCUCUUUUAUAAGGGAAUAAAUUGCGGGACGUGUCUCGUUUUGUAUGUACCUUAUGUAUAAGGAUCGGCUAACUCCGUGCCAGCAGCCGCGGUAAUACGGAGGAUCCGAGCGUUAUCCGGAUUUAUUGGGUUUAAAGGGUGCGUAGGCGGGCUUGUAAGUCAGGGGUGAAAGUCUGUGGCUCAACCAUAGAAUUGCAGUUGAAACUGGGAGGCUUGAGUAUGUUAGAGGAAGGCGGAAGGCGUGGUGUAGCGGUGAAAUGCUUAGAGAUAAAGAAGAACCCCGAUUGCGAAGGCAGCCUGCCAGGCCAUGACUGACGCUGAUGCACGAAAGCGUGGGGAUCAAACAGGAUUAGAUACCCUUGUAGUC
rnacentral:rRNA from 1 species